CAAGACCUUCUUCCUCCCCCAGUCAGCACAGGCGGCGGCGCCAAAACUCCCACGGCGGCGACCGAUGAGCCCCACCAGACCAGCCUCCUGGAGCGCGAUACUUUAUCCCAGAAGUCUCUACCCGAAAAAGAGGCUAUGGUGAACUUGAGAUCACUGGUCUUACCGUACAUGGCGGGGCAGUGGAGCUGCCCACGGCGUGGAGCUACCGGCGGCGACAGUCUCACGACGAUGAGCAUCUCAGGGCACACCCAGAUGGGAGACGUGUUGAUUCUAAGCCUGCAGUGUGGGAACCUGUCUGUGACGAUAUGCGUCCGUGUUUCUCGGUUUUGGGACUUUUCUGAUCCUCAGGAUGCUGCAAGGCUGCUACACUGUGAUAUGGUGUUGCUCGAUGAAGAGGGAAAUAGCAUACAUGCUACGAUAUACCCACCCUUCAUAGAGAAAUUCAGGCCACUCAUAAAAGAAGGCAGCGUGUACAACAUGACAUACUUUCGAGUUCGAGCGUCGAACAACUUGUAUAAGCCAGUUCCAAAUGAUAUCAUGAUUACCUUCACGAAUUGGACAAAGUUAGAGCAGGUUAUUGAGAUUCCUCCUGCAUUUCCUACACUUACCUACUCCCUCACUCACAUAGAGCAGAUCCAUUCACGCAUCGACCAUAAAGACUACUAUACAGAUGCCAUUGGGAUAGUUAAUUCAGUCUCGGAUGUUUCGCCACAUCGCUCCAAAGGACAACAAGCUUCUAGCUUGAAGAGGAACAUUUCCAUAUGCAGUGCAAGAGGUGCUUCGGUCAAUGUCGUGUUGUGGGGUGCCCAAGCCACCCUAUUCCCAGGAGAGCGCAUAUACGAAGAUGGGCAGAAUUCCCCACAGAUUGUGCUAUUUGUUGGCACACUCGUCAAAAAAUAUGCAGAUGUGCUUUGUCUGACUGGAAGCUCACCAUGUAAGUGGUACAUCAAUCCAUCCAUUCCUGAGGUAGAAACCCUUACGUCCAGCGCACGCGGUGAUCAUAAACCAGUGAAGUGGAAUGCAACUGUUACUUCGAGCCAGCUUAUAUCUCCUGUUGCUGAGGAGCAAAAGGUGUCGUACAUCAAGUAUCUCCAUCCCUUUGAAAACAAGGGAAAGGAAUUCUUGGUUACAGUCACUAUAAGGAAAAUUGACAGCAAGUGGUGGUAUAACUCGUGCCGAAAAUGCGCCUGCACAGCUGUCACUCACGGAGACUCUUACAAAUGCACAAACCAUGAUUGUGCUAACAUUGUUAUGCCCGUCCAAAGGUAUAAAAUACUUGUCACUGCAGGAGACGAGACAGCUGAUACAGACUUCAUUCUCUUUGGGCACAUGGCUCAAAGAAUUGUCAAAAGGCCUUGCGAUAUGCUCAUAGCGAACACUCCAUCAGGCUUUAUUCCAGACGCAAUCACAAAGCUGCUUGAAAGGACGUUCAUUUGGAACGUUAGCUUCUCUGGGCACACAAUUAACUCUGGAAACGUCUGCUUCCAGGUCAAUGCUACUGUAAAGGAACUAGGCAAUCAAAAUGUUGACAUUUCAACAUCAACCAUAGGGACACACCAGUCUUCGCUUAUGUUCUCACAAGGUGCAAGCAGCAGCAUGGAAGACACUCCUCACAAGACAGACACCUUGCCUUCACCUCUGACACCUUUGACGCCCCAGGGUAGCGUCGCCACUACAAAGUAUUUGGAAACCGUUGACGCUGGAGAUGCUGAGCGUGUGACUACUCAGUCCUCGACAACUAGGAAGAGAUCAUGCUCUUUGCCUGGCAAAUCAAUAGCAAAAAAACUAUUCAUUGCUGACGAUGAGGAAGGAAGCAUCAGUCAGUCCAGUGGAGGUGGUGUUGGUGGAUCCAGUGAUGACAAAGAUAAUUAGGUGCUGGUGUAGGAAUGUGGAACUUUUGCCUUCACAGUUGCAGCCAUGUGUAAUUCAGGGUUAUCAUCUAUUUCUACUUUUCUCAAGUUAUUGUAUAUGUUAGUUGGAUGGGGGAGAUGUGGUACAUACUUUUGUCCGCAACAUCGCUAACGGUUUGCCUACACAAAUCUACCAAGGUUAACUUUGAUCAGGAUGCUACGUCUAUCACACUUUUGAUAUGCUGACGGCCAACGUGAAUCCAUCUCACUUACAAUCGUGCUUGUUACCUUUCCUCCCCUGAUGUUCAUCCUCAGUGACUUGUACUAUGUAGUGGCAGAAGAAAAACCUACUCUUUUGUAUAUAUCAACUGCUUGUUGUUAAACCUUUUGCUACAUUGC
rnacentral:misc_RNA from 1 species